rnacentral:rRNA from 1 species
GACGAACGCUGGCGGCGUGCUUAACACAUGCAAGUCGAACGGUAAGGCCCUUUCGGGGGUACACGAGUGGCGAACGGGUGAGUAACACGUGGGUGAUCUGCCCUGCACUUUGGGAUAAGCCUGGGAAACUGGGUCUAAUACCGGAUAGGACUACGCGAUGCAUGUCGUGUGGUGGAAAGCUUUUGCGGUGUGGGAUGGGCCCGCGGCCUAUCAGCUUGUUGGUGGGAUGAUGGCCUACCAAGGCGACGACGGGUAGCCGGCCUGAGAGGGUGUCCGGCCACACUGGGACUGAGAUACGGCCCAGACUCCUACGGGAGGCAGCAGUGGGGAAUAUUGCACAAUGGGCGCAAGCCUGAUGCAGCGACGCCGCGUGGGGGAUGACGGCCUUCGGGUUGUAAACCCCUUUCAGCACAGACGAAGCGUAAGUGACGGUAUGUGCAGAAGAAGCACCGGCCAACUACGUG